ACAGGCAGCAAGGAAUGUGACCAGUUUCCUGGUCAUGCAACUCAACACUAUGAACAAUGUUUUGUACAGAUCCAAGCACCAACUCCUUACCACUAGUCCCACUGGCUGACCACUCCACCUUCCCACUGGCUGACCACUCCACCACUUGUCCCACUGGCUGACCAUUCCACCUCUUAUCCCACUGGCCGACCACUCCACCACUUGUCCCACUGGCCGACCACUCCACCACUUGGCAAUGAGCAGACUGCCAUUCACCUUGUAACUUAUUUGUGAUUGAAUGUUUACUCUGCAAAAUAAAGUUUGAUUACAAAGAAUA